UGGGGAAUUUUGGACAAUGGGCGAAAGCCUGAUCCAGCAAUGCCGCGUGUGUGAAGAAGGCCUUCGGGUUGUAAAGCACUUUUGUCCGGAAAGAAAUCCUCUGGGUUAAUACCUCGGGGGGAUGACGGUACCGGAAGAAUAAGCACCGGCUAACUACGUGCCAGCAGCCGCGGUAAUACGUAGGGUGCAAGCGUUAAUCGGAAUUACUGGGCGUAAAGCGUGCGCAGGCGGUUUGCUAAGACCGAUGUGAAAUCCCCGGGCUCAACCUGGGAACUGCAUUGGUGACUGGCAGGCUAGAGUAUGGCAGAGGGGGGUAGAAUUCCACGUGUAGCGGUGAAAUGCGUAGAGAUGUGGAGGAAUACCGAUGGCGAAGGCAGCCCCCUGGGCCAAUACUGACGCUCAUGCACGAAAGCGUGGGGAGCAAACAGGAUUAGAUACCCUGGUAGUCCACGCCCUAAACGAUGUCAACUAGUUGUUGGGGAUUCAUUUCCUUAGUAACGUAGCUAACGCGUGAAGUUGACCGCCUGGGGAGUACGGUCGCAAGAUUAAAACUCAAAUGAAUUGAC
rnacentral:rRNA from 1 species